GACGAACGCUGGCGGCGUGCUUAACACAUGCAAGUCGAGCGGUAAGGCUCCUUCGGGAGUCCACGAGCGGCGAACGGGUGAGUAACACGUGAGUAAUCUGCCCUUCACUUCGGGAUAACCACCGGAAACGGUGGCUAAUACCGAAUACGACCAGUCUUCGCAUGAGGUGCUGGUGGAAAGUCUUUUCGGUGAAGGAUGUGCUCGCGGCCUAUCAGCUUGUUGGUGGGGUAAUGGCCUACCAAGGCUUCGACGGGUAGCCGGCCUGAGAGGGUGACCGGCCACACUGGGACUGAGACACGGCCCAGACGCCUACGGGAGGCAGCAGGGGGGAAUAUUGGACAAUGGGCGAAAGCCUGAUCCAGCAACGCCGCGUGAGGGAUGACGGCCUUCGGGUUGUAAACCUCUUUCAGUACCGACGAAGCGCCCUGUCGGGUGGUGACGGUAGGUACAGAAGAAGGACCGGCCAACUACGUG
rnacentral:rRNA from 1 species